rnacentral:rRNA from 1 species
GGGGGGGGGGGGGGGGGGGGGGGGGGGGGGGGGGGGGGGGGGGGGGGCCCUGCGUGGGUGGGGGGCUCGGGUGGCGAACGGGUGAGUAACACGGGGGUAACCUGCCCUGGGCUUUGGGAUAACUUCAGGAAACUGGGGCUAAUACCGGAUAGGAGCUCCUGCUGCAUGGUGGGGGUUGGAAAGGUUCGGCGGUUGGGGAUGGACUCGCGGCUUAUCAGCUUGUUGGUGGGGUAGUGGCUUACCAAGGCUUUGACGGGUAGCCGGCCUGAGAGGGUGACCGGCCACAUUGGGACUGAGAUACGGCCCAGACUCCUACGGGAGGCAGCAGUGGGGAAUAUUGCACAAUGGGCGGAAGCCUGAUGCAGCAACGCCGCGUGCGGGAUGACGGCCUUCGGGUUGUAAACCGCUUUCGCCUGUGACGAAGCGUGAGUGACGGUAAUGGGUAAAGAAGCACCGGCUAACUACGUG